AGGUUGUGCCAGUAGCCGGAGCCGGAGCCGCUGGGAUCGCCGGUGUUACGGUUUCCGGUUUAUCGGCGGCUGAAGUAAUCAAGAUUGUGGUUUCUUUGAUAAUAAUCAGGCGAGCAUGGCAUGGUGUAAAUACACUCGGACGGACGCUGGGGGUUUUCGACAAGACUUUUAAAUGUGUUUUUAAGGGAUGGUACUUGCUUCAGCGUUCUUGUGGCCAUUUUCACUUAAUAUUCUGGACGCCUCACUUGUGUAGACUUUGCCAAAAAUCCAAAAGAACCACGUGAGCUAAUGGCGGAUAUGUUCGAUAGGAUGUGUUCUAGCAGAAAGCUCCCAGAUUUGCUGUAUUAUAGGGUAUUUCCGUGAUGUAUAUUUUAACAAAACUACAAAGUUACAGGUCGAAAAAACAUCGAGUUAAUUUAAUGUGCGGACAAGAAUGAAUCGGAUUUUCUCUUGCUAUACUCGGGUUGUUAUAGGGCCUAUUUAUCAUCUAAGUUUUGUCCUAUAUUAAUAACAUAGUACUUAAACGCUUCAGCUGCUGCUUUGGUUCUCUCAACUUGGGGUCACUGACCUUAAGUUCCUUUGGUAGGCCCUAUUAUGUUUAUAUUAGUUCCAAGAACCUGAUUAAUAGCCUUCCAGGUUUCUUUUGUAUUAUUUUUAUAUUUUUGAAAUUGAUUAGUGUAAAAUUGGUUUUUUUUAGAUACAAAGUGUAGGCCUAUUUUAUUAUUAUAUUUUGUUUUAUUGAAAUGGUGUGGGAGUUUUUUCUAUAUUUACUGUAUAGUUUGAUUUGAAUUAUUUGGCUAUUCCUUUAGUAAUCGAGGGUGAUAGUUUUCGGUUUGCCCUAAUUCUAACGUUAAAGUAUUACAGAACAGUUGGAAUGUUGUACUUGCAUCGUUAGAAUUUAACACGUGUUCUUAUUGUUGUGCGUUCCAUCUCUUGCUCAGCGUUGGGAUUGCUGGAGAGAAAACUUACGUUUACGUAAUA